UUUUCCACAUUCAAUUCGCACCCCCCUCGUUGUCGCCUACCUUCCCCAUAGCUGUACGUCCUCCAUCGAAGCGCAUUCUGGGCUUUCUCACCUCCAUUGCCGCAACUCGUCUCUUUCUCUCCAUAGCUCUCCUCCAUUGAAGCGCAUUCUGCUGAGCUUUCUCACCUCCAUUGAAGCGCAUUCUGAGCUUUCCAACUCCAUUGUAGCAGCUUCGAGUGAUAAAUAUACGAGCAUAUGCAUCCUGGGAUAGCUUCUCUCAUUAUCCGGUUUGGCAAGGAAAGAAGCAAAUGAAUUGAUAAAACUUGUCAGGUCUCGUGUAGUGGACAACAAUGGAACUUUUGGUGAAACUACUCCAAAUAUGCAGACCUCAGCAAUUAUGGAAGCUAGGAAAUGAUAAGAUUUUCAAGUGUGACCGAUCCCUCUCUACUCGGGGAAGCAGGGGAGCUUGAAAUACGCAUCAAACCUGAUCCAUAUAAUGGGACCAUCACGAUUAGGAUACUGGUAAUUGGAAUGACAAAAGAGGAGCUUGUUGAUUGUUUGGGAACUAUUGCACAGAGUGGCACUUCCAAGUUCUUAAAAGCAUUGAAGCUAUACUUUUCAUCGCAUUGAUCUUCUUCAACGUGCAAUGACCCAUGCUUCAUUUUCUGAGGAGAACAACCGAGCACUAAGCAUUCUAGGCACGAGCAUCAUAGAACAUCUGUGUCCUUUAGGUAUCUUCUAAAUGAUAUGGAUAUUUCUUCAAAAACUCUAAAUCGUGUGAUAGCAAAGGCAUGUAAUGUGGAGUCCUCAUGUCCUGUGGAUGGGAUGAGGUUGGGAUUGCACAAAAUAGUCAGAGUCUCUCACAAUACCAACUGUACCACUCCUGCCAUAGUUUGUGGUGCUUUCCGUGCAAUAUUUGCUGCUGUUGCUCUCGACUCUGGAAAGUCUGAUGAUGCUUCAAGUGUCCUGGAAUGUCCAUACUCGUACAGGUGAAAUGACUGCUGCAUUUUAGGUACCAUUAUGACCAUAUCGAAGGAUAGGGUGAAGCCAUCUCCUAUGCCAGACAGCUGCUGGAAGCUCUCUGAGAUUUUUGCCACUGGAAUUGUCAUUGGCAGUUCCUGGCAAUGAUGACGGCGAUAUGUUUCUGGGCAGCAUAUGAGGCUGAUUUCUUUCCGAGAAUGUUUGGGGUUUCACACUUAAACAGACAAUCAGCUACUACUGAAAGUGCUACUACUUAAACAGACAAUCAGCUACUACUUAAACAGACAAUCAGCUGAUGCAGCAGUACAAACCAGCAAUGGCAACAGCAGCACACAACCAGCAGCAUAACCAAAGCAGCAGCAACACCACAGGAGAAAAACAAACAUAUUUUAUUUUAUUUUAUUUUAUUGGACGAAAAUUGUAAUAUUA